rnacentral:rRNA from 1 species
UACGUAGGGGGGCCAGCGUUGUCCGGAAUCAUUGGGCGUAAAGCGCGCGUAGGCGGUCAGGUAAGUCCGGUGUGAAAGUCAAAGGCUCAACCUUUGAAUGCCGCUGGAAACUGUCUGGCUAGAGUCCGGAAGGGGCGAGUGGAAUUCCUGGUGUAGCGGUGAAAUGCGCAGAUAUCAGGAGGAACACCAAUGGCGAAGGCAGCUCGCUGGAACGGUACUGACGCUGAGGCGCGAAAGCGUGGGGAGCGAACAGG